rnacentral:misc_RNA from 1 species
GAUGAAGAACGCAGCGAAAUGCGAUACGUAAUGUGAAUUGCAGAAUUCAGUGAAUCAUCGAGUCUUUGAACGCACAUUGCGCCCCCUGGUAUUCCGGGGGGCAUGCCUGUCCGAGCGUCAUUUACCCCCUCAAGCUCCGCUUGGUGUUGGGCGUCUGUCCCGCUUCGCGCGCGGACUCGCCCCAAAGGUAUUGGCAGCGGUCGUGCCAGCUUCUCGCGCAGCACAUUGCGCUUCUCGAGGCACCGGUGGGCCCGCGUCCAUCAAGCUCACCCCCCCAGUUUGACCUCGGAUCAGGUAGGGAUACCCGCUGAACUUAAGCAUAUCAAUAAGCGGAGGA